UAAUUUGACUCAACACGGGAAACCUCACUCAGCCCGGACACGGAAAGGAUUGACAGAUUGAUAGCUCUUUCUCGAUUCUGUGGGUGGUGAUGCAUGGCCGUUCUUAGUUGGUGGAGCGAUUUGACUACUUACUGAGUUAUAAACUAUUCUGUAUGUGCUGUUGAGUAUUGCUUCAGAACAUUUUAGUGCCAUCCAGAUUUUAUAUGAAUGGCAUUCUGUAAAAGUUACUCAGGAUUCACCAGAAAACUGUACCAGCGCUCUGAGCUUCCAUGCACC
rfam:Chelonia mydas contig175831, whole genome shotgun sequence.